AGUGAACGCUGGCGGUAGGCCUAACACGUGCAAGUCGAACGGCAGCACAGGAGAGCUUGCUCUCUGGGUGGCGAGUGGCGGACGGGUGAGGAAUACAUCGGAAUCUACCUUUUCGUGGGGGAUAACGUAGGGAAACUUACGCUAAUACCGCAUACGACCUACGGGUGAAAGUGGGGGACCGCAAGGCCUCACGCGAUUAGAUGAGCCGAUGUCCGAUUAGCUAGUUGGCGGGGUAAUGGCCCACCAAGGCGACGAUCGGUAGCUGGUCUGAGAGGCUGAUCAGCCACACUGGAACUGAGACACGGUCCAGACUCCUACGGGAGGCAGCAGUGGGGAAUAUUGGACAAUGGGCGCAAGCCUGAUCCAGCCAUACCGCGUGGGUGAAGAAGGCCUUCGGGUUGUAAAGCCCUUUUGUUGGGAAAGAAAUCCUGUCGAUUAAUACUCGGUGGGGAUGACGGUACCCAAAGAAUAAGCACCGGCUAACUUCGUGCCAGCAGCCGCCGUAAUAC
rnacentral:rRNA from 1 species